GAUGCGUUGUAUUCUAAAUAAAUUGUGUUGGGAUAAAUCUCACGCGGACUCUUUUUGACGUUCAAAGUGGAAGAUAUGUAUAACUAGGCCAACUAAAUAAAAUUUAAGACCCCACUUCGCCGAAAACAUUUUCUGCCAGGAGGAAGGUUGUGGGAUGAUUUAGUCAUCCAGACAUGGCGAAUAAAUAGCUCGACUCCAGUUGAUGAUGACAGUUUGGUAAACUGAUGCACCCUCAGAGAGGAAGAGUGACCGAAGGAUAACCAGGGACAAUCUUUAUUAGUGUCAUUUUCAGUACCCAUCCAUUAAAAUGUGUGUUGCCGCACCAAUCUUUGUUAGUGUCAUUUUCUAAUUCGACUCCAUUAUUAAAUCUAACUUGACUCCAGACAUUUUUAUUA